UGGGGAAUUUUGGACAAUGGGCGAAAGCCUGAUCCAGCAAUGCCGCGUGUGUGAAGAAGGCCUUCGGGUUGUAAAGCACUUUUGUCCGGAAAGAAAUCCUUGGCUCUAAUACAGUCGGGGGAUGACGGUACCGGAAGAAUAAGCACCGGCUAACUACGUGCCAGCAGCCGCGGUAAUACGUAGGGUGCAAGCGUUAAUCGGAAUUACUGGGCGUAAAGCGUGCGCAGGCGGUUUGCUAAGACCGAUGUGAAAUCCCCGGGCUCAACCUGGGAACUGCAUUGGUGACUGGCAGGCUAGAGUAUGGCAGAGGGGGGUAGAAUUCCACGUGUAGCAGUGAAAUGCGUAGAGAUGUGGAGGAAUACCGAUGGCGAAGGCAGCCCCCUGGGCCAAUACUGACGCUCAUGCACGAAAAGCGUGGGGAGCAAAACAGGAUUAGAUACCCUGGUAGUCCACGCCCUAAAACGAUGUCAACUAGUUGUGGGGAUUCAUUUCCUUAGUAACGUAGCUAACGCGUG
rnacentral:rRNA from 1 species